rnacentral:lncRNA from 1 species
UAAUCCGUAUUUUGUCAAUUUAGUCAAAAUUUGGAGCAGGGCUGCUGUGCUCUCAGGAGUACGGAGGCCUCCGUGCUCCUGAGCCGUUUUCGAUGAUGGAAUUUUCGAAUCGACGGUCGGUUCCGUUAGACUUGAUCUAGCGCAUUAGAAGUUUCUAGAAAAUAAUUUUUGUGAUUUUUUGAUAUCAUUUACCUAGUGAACGAAAGGAUUCAAAAUUCAUAAUUUUUAAUGGUUGAUAUCUGCUGUUUUUAAGUUUAACGGUGUAGAAGUAUUCAAAUUAGAUGAAAUUUUGAUACAAAAUUCUUUAUACUAUCUACAACAAGAUCAAUAUUUUUGAUCAAAAAUUUUACUGCUAUAUUACCACUUUUUAUAGGAUUUUUAUUUUCAGCCGUUAAAAAUCAUUGAUUUUGAAUCCUUUCGAUUAUUAGGUAAAUGAUAUCGAAAAAUCGCAAAAAUUAUUUUCUAGAAACUUCAAAUACGCUAGAUCAAGUUUAACGAAGCCGAUCGUCGAUUCGGAAACUCCAUCAUUGAAAACGGCUCAGAAGCA